AUCCAGCUGACGAGUCCCAAAUAGGACGAACCACGGUUCCUGGAU
rfam:Schistosoma mansoni strain Puerto Rico chromosome 1, complete genome